AUUGAACGCUGGCGGCAGGCCUAACACAUGCAAGUCGAACGAGCGGCGGACGGGUGAGUAAUGUCUGGGAAACUGCCUCAUGGAGGGGGAUAACUACUGGAAACGGUAGCUAAUACCGCAUACCAUCAGAUGUGCCCAGAUGGGAUUAGCUAGUAGGUGGGGUAAUGGCUCACCUAGGCGACGAUCCCUAGCUGGUCUGAGAGGAUGACCGGCCACACUGGAACUGAGACACGGCCCAGACUCCUACGGGAGGCAGCAGUGGGGAAUAUUGGGCAAUGGGCGCAAGCCUGAUGCAGCCAUGCCGCGUGUGUGAAGAAGGCCUUCGGGUUGUAAAGCACUUUCAGCGAGGAAGCGUUACUCGCAGAAGAAGCACCGGCUAACUCCGUGCCAGCAGCCGCGGUAAUAC
rnacentral:rRNA from 1 species